GAGCAUUGAUGCUGGAAGAAGGAGACACUUUGCACAGGUGGGGAUAUCCAGUUUUGUUAGCUCCAGCUGAUAUCUGUGACCCAUGUCUGGUGUUGGUGCCAGAGCAAUGCACUGCUCUUGUGAUCCUGUCCCCGUCACCCCCUCGCCUGGCCCAGCACUUGGAGGGGCUCCCUAGGUCUCUGCUAAUGUCCUUCACUGAGACCUUUCGUGGGGAACAGGAUUACUUUCAUACCAGCCUUUUACCUUCAUACCAGCCUUUUAAUCUACAAAGCACAGGUGACUGCUGGAGAGUCAUGGGAUGUGCUGUCCACGUGGGCAUUCAGACGGGGUGCCUGGGCACAAACAGAGUGUGGGAUGUGUGUACAGCCAUGUGCCAUGUGCUGGGUGCAGUAGGGUAUGGAGUAUUGUGGUGUGAAAGAUUCAGAGGGGUGGAAAAGAAAGGAAGGAGGACAGGAAGUGAGCACGUGUUCAUUCCACAUGCAAGAUGUCCCAGAGGAUGCUGUUCUGUACUUCCCAGUCACAUCUGACCAUCCAGGAGCUGAGUCAGCCGGCCAGAGCACUCAUGCUGCCGGCAAGAGAGCUGCAGGCAGGUGCAUCUCGGGUUGAACGCACCGGUUGCAGGAGUCAGGUCUUUCCUGAGUGAAAGGAAGGAGUUCAGAGCAGCCAUGGUCAGGAGGCCCUCAGAGAAUGGAAACACCACUGAUCUUGGCAUUAUGCAGCCAGGCCAGAGGGGAACUGCUCUACUUCCUGGGUGAACUAAGGGUAACCCCAAUGACUGUGGGAACUUGGUAGAUCCUCAGAGACAGAGACUGCAGAAGAUCUGCAGGAACCUGCAGAGAGGAGGAGGACCCUUCCUGUCCCUGCCCAGCUAGUGACUAGUCUGCUUUGUAGGCAGCUGACAGGGCAGUUCAAGGAGUGCCAGGACUGACUUGAACACUGAUGUGGCAUUCCUGGAAGAAAGAGGGUAAGUGCCGGUUUUAUUUGAAACAUAAUUGGAUUUGCAGCAAAUACACUCCAAAAAGCACAGUGAAACAACCAAUGCUAUCAGUAUACUUAACUACCUGAUCAAAUCAGAGUUAUUAAAAGUUAAAGUUUUUAGUGUUAGGUUGUUUUCGUUUUGGUUUUUUAAAACUUUGAAAAGAUUUAUUGAAGUCUUUUGAAGCACUCUAGUCUAAGUUAACCUGUC